rnacentral:rRNA from 1 species
AGAGUUUGAUUAUGGCUCAGGAUGAACGCUAGCUACAGGCUUAACACAUGCAAGUCGCGGGGCAGCAUGGCUUAGCUUGCUAAGACUGAUGGCGACCGGCGCACGGGUGAGUAACGCGUAUCCAACCUUCCCCUUAGUAGGGCAUAGCCGGCGAAAGUCGGAUUAAUACCCUAUGUUCUUCGUCGAGGACAUCUGAAGUGAAGCAAAGAUUUAUCGCUAAGGGAUGGGGAUGCGUCUGAUUAGGUAGUCGGCGGGGUAACGGCCCACCGAGCCAGCGAUCAGUAGGGGUUCUGAGAGGAAGGUCCCCCCACAUUGGAACUGAGACACGGUCCAAACUCCUACGGGAGGCAGCAGUGAGGAAUAUUGGUCAAUGGGCGAGAGCCUGAACCAGCCAAGUAGCGUGCAGGACGACGGCCCUAUGGGUUGUAAACUGCUUUUAUGCGGGGAUAAAGUGCGGGACGCGUCCCGCUUUGCAGGUACCGCAUGAAUAAGGACCGGCUAAUUCCGUGCCAGCAGCGGC